CGGUGUUUAACUGGCGUGAUGUGGGACGUCCUACCGGUGGGCUUAGCCUCGCGAGGGGCGGCCCAACUAAUAUCCCGUCGCGGUGCUCUUUACUGAGUGUCGAGUCGGGCCGGUACGUUUACUUUGAACAAAUUAGAGUGCUUAAAGCAGGCUAUCCUCGCCUGAAUACUGCGUGCAUGGAAUAAUGGAAUAGGACCUCGGUUCUAUUUUGUUGGUUUUCGGAACCCCGAGGUAAUGAUUAAUAGGGACAGAUGGGGGCAUUCGUAUUGCGACGUUAGAGGUGAAAUUCUUGGAUCGUCGCAAGACGGACAGAAGCGAAAGCAUUUGCCAAAAAUGUUUUCAUUAAUCAAGAACGAAAGUUAGAGGUUCGAAGGCGAUCAGAUACCGCCCUAGUUCUAACCAUAAACGAUGCCAGCUAGCGAUCCGCCGAAGUUCCUCCGAUGACUCGGCGGGCAGCUUCCGGGAAACCAAAGCUUUUGGGUUCCGGGGGAAGUAUGGUUGCAAAGCUGAAACUUAAAGGAAUUGACGGAAGGGCACCACCAGGAGUGGAGCCUGCGGCUUAAUUUGACUCAACACGGGAAACCUCACCAGGCCCAGACACCGGAAGGAUUGACAGAUUGAUAGCUCUUUCUUGAUUCGGUGGGUGGUGGUGCAUGGCCGUUCUUAGUUGGUGGAGCGAUUUGUCUGGUUAAUUCCGAUAACGAACGAGACUCUAGCCCGCUAAAUAGGCGUACCUUAUGGUAUCGCGAAGGCCCCCGGCUUCGGCCGGUGGGUUUUUACUACCAACGUACAAACAAAUCUUCUUAGAGGGACAGGCGG
rnacentral:rRNA from 1 species